GACGAACGCUGGCGGCGUGCUUAACACAUGCCAGUCGAACGGAAAGGCCCUGCUUUUGUGGGGUGCUCGAGUGGCGAACGGGUGAGUAACACGUGAGUAACCUGCCCUUGACUUUGGGAUAACUUCAGGAAACUGGGGCUAAUACCGGAUAGGAGCUCCUGCUGCAUGGUGGGGGUUGGAAAGUUUCGGCGGUUGGGGAUGGACUCGCGGCUUAUCAGCUUGUUGGUGGGGUAGUGGCUUACCAAGGCUUUGACGGGUAGCCGGCCUGAGAGGGUGACCGGCCACAUUGGGACUGAGAUACGGCCCAGACUCCUACGGGAGGCAGCAGUGGGGAAUAUUGCACAAUGGGCGGAAGCCUGAUGCAGCAACGCCGCGUGCGGGAUGACGGCCUUCGGGUUGUAAACCGCUUUCGCCUGUGACGAAGCGUGAGUAACGGUAAUGGGUAAAGAAGCACCGGCUAACUACGUG
rnacentral:rRNA from 1 species